UUUUGGACAAUGGGCGAAAGCCUGAUCCAGCAAUGCCGCGUGUGGGAAGAAGGCCUUCGGGUUGUAAACCACUUUUGUACGGAACGAAACGGUCUGCUUUAAUACAGUGGGCUAAUGACGGUACCGUAAGAAUAAGCACCGGCUAACUACGUGCCAGCAGCCGCGGUAAUACGUAGGGUGCGAGCGUUAAUCGGAAUUACUGGGCGUAAAGCGUGCGCAGGCGGUUAUAUAAGUCAGAUGUGAAAUCCCCGGGCUCAACCUGGGAAUUGCAUUUGAGACUGCACGGCUAGGGUGUGUCAGAGGGGGGUAGAAUUCCACGUGUAGCAGUGAAAUGCGUAGAUAUGUGGAGGAAUACCGAUGGCGAAGGCAGCCCCCUGGGAUAACACUACGCUCAUCACGAA
rnacentral:rRNA from 1 species